UACGUAGGGUGCGAGCGUUAAUCGGAAUUACUGGGCGUAAAGCGCGCGCAGGCGGUUCGUUGUGUCGGUGGUGAAAGCCCCGGGCUUAACCUGGGAAUGGCCAUGGAAACUGGCGAACUGGAGUGUGGCAGAGGGGGGUGGAAUUCCGCGUGUAGCAGUGAAAUGCGUAGAGAUGCGGAGGAACACCGAUGGCGAAGGCAGCCCCCUGGGUCAAGAUUGACGCUCAUGCACGAAAGCGUGGGGAGCAAACAGG
rnacentral:rRNA from 1 species